CCUACGGGAGGCAGCAGUGAGGAAUAUUGGUCAAUGGUCGAAAGACUGAACCAGCCAAGUAGCGUGCAGGAUGACGGCCCUAUGGGUUGUAAACUUCUUUUAUCUGGGGAUAAAGUGCGUCAUGUGUGAUGUUUUGUAGGUACCGCAUGAAUAAGGAUCGGCUAACUCCGUGCCAGCAGCCGCGGUAAUACGGAGGAUCCGAGCGUUAGCCGGAUUUAUUGGGUUUAAAGGGAGCGUAGGCCGGAGUUUAAGCGAGCUGUGAAAUGGCGCGGCUCAACCGUGGCAUUGCGGUGCAAACUGGGUUGCUUGAGUGCGCGAGAGGUAUGCGGAAUGCGUGGUGUAGCGGUGAAAUGCUUAGAUAUCACGAAGAACUCCGAUUGCGAAGGCAGCAUACGGGAGCGCAACUGACGCUGAGGCUCGAAAGCGCGGGUAUCGAACAGGAUUAGAUACCCGAGUAGUC
rnacentral:rRNA from 1 species